AAGUCGUAACAAGGUUUCCGUAGGUGAACCUGCGGAAGGAUCAUUAACACGUAUCCAAACGUUAACCCCCUGUGAACCUUCAAUGUGCUCGUACACUUUGUCAAAGCGAGGCAAUCCCUGGUAAAUCAUCGCCGAACAGUUUUUUUAUUCUUGCAUGUUGCGCGAGGCAAGUGGCCUGGCAUUCCCAAGCAGUUAAUGUCUGAAAGUGUCAUUUGCUGUGUAAGGAUGACGCAGUAACGAUCGUUGGAGGCCGACACGGCCGACGACCGGGUCACCGGGCGCAAGCCCCUUUAUCACCACUUGAUGCAUGACAGACGCGCCAGCGCUUAAUUGUGCGGCGACCAAAAACCGAACAACUGUUAACAAUGGAUAUCUUGGUUCUC
rnacentral:misc_RNA from 1 species